AGUUUCAGAUUAUGAUGACGCUUUAAGACAUGUAAGAGAAGAUGAAAGAAUAUCUGGAAAAGAUGACAUGGCGUUGUUGAUGAAAGAUCAUCAUAGAGCUGCACGUGACGUUUCAUAUAAGCCCACAAAGGUCAUCAGAGUAUAGAAGAUGAUGAAAUUCAACGAUAUGUUGUUAUUACAAGUGCAAUAUGUCUUUAUGUUGUUAUUAUAUUGAGUAAAAUAUGUCUUUAACCUUUUCCCUCAUAAAAACGUGUUUUGACUUUUUUGCGCCCCACCCCCACCUUUUUGAGGCCUCAAAUUGUAAAAACAUGCCCUAUUUAGG